rnacentral:misc_RNA from 1 species
GUGAGAUUUAUUUCCCUUGUCCAACAUGAACCUUGAUUCCAUGACUCCCUCUCUCCCUCUUUCUUUAGUUUUCUGUUUGUUUUUUCUUUUGAGGCUACUCCUUUGUCCCUGCCGAAGCAAUCGGCCGUCCCUUGCCCUGUUCAAGUUGGGGGAUGCCUUCCUUCUUUACCCGGAGAACUGGUCUAUCCCUCCCACAUCCAGGCUGGGUUUUGUUGGAUUUUGCUUUGUAUGAAGGAGAGGGCUGAUCUGAGAGGGAUCGCGCCACCUGCAUUUUUUGCUGUGUUGGAGAUCUCACAGCGUUGCCUCUGUAACGCCAGUUUUGAUGUAUUUGAUGGGAAGUUUUAGCACUGCAGGGUUCUGGGAGGUCCGCUUCUGUGAAUCAUACCUCCAAAGUCUCUAUCCACCUAUGAAGUGGCUCUGACGUGGAGUUCUGCCUUGCUCCCUCCUAGAAUUGUCGUCGGCGCCCCCAUGGUCUGGUGGUUGUUAGUAGUUGUCUCUUUCUCUUGAUUUUAGCCUCUGCUUUCCGGAGAGACAUCGUGGGUUUGCGAUUGACCCUUUUGUUUACAACUGUGAGACUCUCCGAUGACUGCAUUGGGCUUGGCAUGUAUGCUGAGUUGAAGAGCCUUAUUUCAAGUCAUGGGUUGGAUGUUUUAUGAGUUGGGCUCCAUUAGGUUCUAGGCCUCAGGUGUCUAUUAGCUCUAUUAUAUCUUUUCUUUUAUUAUGGGCUUUGCCCAUAUGUGCUUUUCCCGUUAAUGGUAUCUCCAUAUGUGUAGCAUAAAAAAAAAAAAAACCCAGAACUCGAAGAAGAAGAAAAAUAUAAAAGAAUCGAAUGAAG